CUAGUUGGGGUGUAACGCAUGCAUUGACAUGUUAAUGUUCAUCAACUUUGUCUCCAGAUUCUAGAACUUUCCUUGCUUGAACAUGUUGAAAAUAUUUGUACUAACAGUGGUAAUCGAGGUAAUGACCUGCGCCUACAUCAUGGGACUACAUCAUGAAUGUUAGACAUAGUGUAUUAAUGGUCUGGAUGGCCCAGUGUACUGAUGGCGUCUUUUCAAAUGCGGACCAGAUUAGCAUGCAGCAGAAAAUUUAUCCACCUUCCACAAUAAUGCCCUUUUUGGACUGACCUCCUGUGGGAUGCUGAUUGUACCUGUCGUCUUGUUGUACUUCCCAAAAGUGUUGAGUAUUGUCUCCAGUGCUGUCUGGGGUUCGUAUCUAGCCUUGGCUACUAUCAGCUAUUUCACCACCGGUAUUCUUCAUUACGUGCUCUACAAUGUCAUGCGACGAGGCAUCGUAGCCAAAUAUGCAGAGGCUCAUCACACCAUCCAGUUUGAAGUUGUUGACUACAUUCUGUUUGCUGCAUGGGCUCUCUCAUCUCUCACCGGUGCCCUGAUUCAGUGGUUCCUAACCAAAGACAGACCCACCAACUUCCCUCCGUGCCCCUACCGAGAGUGGCAGACGAGACAACAGGAGUGUCGGAGCGAGCCCGACAGGCGAGGGCACCCGAUACAGGCCAUCAGUCAGAGCGAUGCAUCAGAGGAUUCCCCUUUGCUCAGGAACCAGAAGACGAGGUAAAUGAAAACAGUCUACUGAAAUACGAGCAGCUCUAAGAAAGAUUUCCUUACACAGACGCUGCAUGACACUCUUUGUACAUGCCCUAUCGGACUAGUCUGAAAAAUGGUUUGCUAAGUGAAUGCUUCAAUGUUUUCACUGCUAAAUUUGACUUUUUAGAACAUAUUGCUUUUGGAAGGCUUAAAGGUCACUGCAGGGAAAAUUGAGUGGCAUCCAUAUUUGGAUUUCUUUCCCAGCUCUGGCCAACUGUGGAAUAAAAUCUGAAAAUGGGAAUAAUGGAAUAGAUAUUUGGGAUAUCUUGCUCAGCUUGGAUCAAGUUUCUCACCAUAAACUGAUCGGAAAAGAAAUCAAACAUUAAAGUGCCUGAAAGAGAUUUGCAAGAGUCAACCUGUGGAAUAUUAAAUGUGUGAUGUAGCAACUAGACCAGCUGGCCCUGAACAGGUGGCCACCAACAUCAUAGGGUGGGAUAGCUCACUUGGUGCUGUAGUUUUGAUGUCAAACACUUCCGGAGUACUCUCCAGUCCUAUUUAGAUCCACACAUACUCAGAAAAGAGAUCUCCUUGCGUGGGGCUACCGCAUACCUCUAAAACUAACUCUACCUUCCUUAUUGAAGAGCUUCAAAGUUCAACACUUCUUCUGUUCUUUGGUUUUGUCACAAAUUCUCAUCACAUUUUUUGAGAAAUCUGGCUGAUCAGUCGUUGAAAGAGAUUGUCCCAAAGGUCAUCUUGAACAUUUGAGUUGCAGUAGUCAGGUAGUGGUGGGUUUCUGUCUAGUUGGAUUGAGUUAGGUGGGGGUGAAUUGUCAGCAUUUAGUGGGGCUGGGAAGGGUCAGGUGAGGUUGGGUGGGGACAGAAUGGUUGGCACAGUCGGAUAGGUUUAGGCGGGGUUGGGUGGGUUUAGGCAGGGUCAGGUGGUGUUAGGCAGGGUCAGGUGGGGUCAGAUGGCCAUUGCUAGGAAGGGGCAGUUUGUAAUAUUUUGUAAUGAUUUUGUACUCCUGAAAUGCUGUAUAAUUUAAAAUGCAAUCUGAAGUAUUUUUUCGAAGGAAAUCAUUCAGUAGAUAUUUUUCAGUCAAGUGUGACAAUAUUGUAAUAAUGCUGAUUCCAAAGAGUUUUAUGCACAAGAAUCGGAAGUUGAUUUAUUAUAAAAUGAGUACUAUGCAUAUGGCGGUUGAGGGUAAUCUUUAUUGAUCAGAAUAUAAAGGAAAGAAAUCCAAGCUGGUUUGAGAUACCACUCUCCCACUGUUUAGCGUUUAAGCCAAGACACAUCAUACUUUGUUACAUAUUAUAACGGAAAUGAUGUAGCUUUGUUUAAUCACAUUGAAACGCAAAGAAAAAUGCUGUGCUGUUAAAAACUUCCAAGCACAUAAGGUGAAUGAGAUGUUGACAUCCAGGUUUUGCUGUGGCAGGUUUUAAAGGCUGUUGAUUCAAACACAGGUGUCUUUAUUUGAAAUUCUGGCUGACUUUUAAAGUCUAAAAUAUAUUAAAAUCCUGGUAGAAUCCUGUGGAAUAUUGACAUAAUUUGUAUUUUUAAUUUUGGAGGAAACCAGAAAGUAUUUUACCAAAAAAUUCAAUUUUACAAGGAAACCAAAAGUGCUUAAAACUGUAUUUUUAAAAAGAUCCCAAAUGCAGACUUUUCUUUUUAUGUUUUAAUAUUCUGGGGUGAAAAACAGACAUCAGUUAACCUGGGGUCAAACCGAUGGCCUUAAUCAAAGAGAAAAAAUUUACAGCCAAAUGCAAUCAACUCCUGUUGUUGACUUCCUCUGUUCAUGCUGAAUAGCUUAGUUUAGUAACCUUUAACGUCAGGGAUUCCCCUUAGCCAGAAAGCCUCGAAUAAAGGUACCCUGGCCUUACUUUGACUUCUCUCUGUGGUUUUUAAUAGUGGUAGGGGCUGCAAGACACCUACCCUACAGAGCAAUAUAAAUUUUGUAAUCAAAUCUAAUGUAAAUGUAUUGUUUUUUCUUCUUUUUUGGCAUCCUAAUUAGAGUUUAGUUUAAUUGAAAGUGCAUUUAUGUUGUACAGGUACCAUCAGUGGCACUCAUUGUUACCAUGGAAACUCCAUGUAUUCAGAAUGAGGAUUUGUUUUUUAAUUACAUGUGGCAUUUUGAAGAAGUCAUGUCCUCUUGCACUCAAAAAUCAAAAGAAUUUCAAGAAGUUGGAUUUUCACAAGGAUCUGGUAGGCUUGAAAAAUCAGUGCACAAUUCCUGAAUAAUGUAUAUCAGCUGCUCUGAUGCCGAUUGUGGUAAUUUCAAGAGUCGUUAAGGUUUUGCGUAGCUUGUGAAAGUCAUCUCAAAGAUACACCUGCAAGCUGUCCAUAAAUAUGAUACUGGCAAAUUUCAUUCAAAUGGAGCUUCCCUCCAGAAUGUGUAUCCAAGUUGAUAUUUUCAAAAUGCAGAGCAUUUUAAAUUUAAAGCCAAACUUUGUAUGUGGAAAGAUGCUUGCCAUUUUUUAAAUCUGCUUUUUGAAACUUACUAAGUGUAGUGUAUUGAUUUAAUUUUCAAAAGUCCUGUAAAUAUUCAGAUCAGGAAUCAAGCAGACAAACUUCAGUUUUUGUCAAAGUGCGCAUUUUCUUUGGAAACUUGUACAGUAAGUUUAUGAUCUUCAUGUAAAGGGUAAAAGAAGUUCAUGUAGGGCAAUGCUGAGUAUUUUUGUAAAUUGUUGCCUAUCAUUCCACUCAAGUAGAAUGGUGGUCUGACUGCUGAGAAAUAAACUCCUGUAAUGCUUCAUGCUUGUAUGAUUGCCUCAGUGCUUAGCCUUGAUUCCAGUCGUCACAGUGUCAUGUCCAACUUUACAUGUACAUCAUAGAGUCUAACCUCAACAUUGCGCAAUCAACUAAGUACCAAUCUGUACUUUAAAUAUUAGGUCCGAACUACUACCCUUGUGGGGGGACCCAAGUGGCUCAACAGGUUAAGUCACAGGGUUGGAAACCCACACGGUUGAGAACCUUCCCAAAGCAGGUUCAAACCCCAGCAGGGACAAGCUAGCUAGAAAGCUAGCUGGAAGAAAGAGUUUU